UUUAAAUUUCAAAUUAAACCGCGCAUGCGUGUUUGGAGACGCUGUACCCGCGCUGUGGAUCAGUCGGUUGGGGAUCAUCACGGAGGUACAGCACGGCGUGGCUGGAGCUGGAGUUUGGCGUGUUCGAGAAACAAAGCGUAGAGCUGAGACGUGAAUCUGAAGAGGAUCUCUGAUGAUUGCCUGGAGGACAGACAAAGUGAUGCCAGUUUGCACAUUCUUAAAAUCCUUGUUGUCCGUGCUGUUGAAGGGGAGGAACCAGUUGGUGUAUCCAUAAUCCUUGAAGGAAAGGAAAUUUUGCAAGAAUGUGGCAAUACUGCAAAUGCAUGUGCACUGCUUAUGGGAAUAAUUUAUGCCAUAAACCUUGCAGACCCCCGAGCACUGCGCUACACAUUUGAGCUAUUUCAGAAAGUUCUUUUAGAACUUGGUGGG